GACAUUACGGGAGGCAGCAGUAGGGAAUAUUGCACAAUGGGGGAAACCCUGAUGCAGCGACGCCGCGUGAGUGAUGAAGGCCUUCGGGUCGUAAAGCUCUGUUGAAUGGGAAUAAAAAAAUGAAGGUACCAUUUAAGAAAGGAUCGGCUAACUUCGUGCCAGCAGCCGCGGUAAUACGAGGGAUCCUAGCGUUGUUCGGAAUCAUUGGGCGUAAAGAGUAUGUAGGCGGCCUAGUAAGUCAGUUGUGAAAGCCCCGGGCUCAACCCGGGAAGUGCAAUUGAUACUGCUUGGCUUGAAUGUGGAAGAGGGCAGUAGAAUUCCAGGUGUAGUGGUGAAAUACGUAGAUAUCUGGAGGAAUACCGGUGGCGAAGGCGGCUGCCUGGUCCUACAUUGACGCUGAGAUACGAAAGCGUGGGGAGCAAACAGGAUUAGAUACCCUGGUAGUCCUAGCCUUAAACGAUGGAUGCUUGGUGUCCGGGGUUACAUAGUCCCCGGGUGCCGUCGCUAACGCAUUAAGCAUCCCGCCUGGGGAGUACGGUCGCAAGACUGAAACUCAAAGGAAUUG
rnacentral:rRNA from 1 species